rnacentral:rRNA from 1 species
AAUGAACGCUGGCGGCAUGCCUUACACAUGCGAGUCGAACGGCAGCAUGACCUCGCUUGCUAGGUUGAUGGCGAGUGGCGAACGGGUGAGUAAUGCAUCGGAACGUGCCUUUUAGUGGGGGAUAACGUAGCGAAAGUUACGCUAAUACCGCAUAUUCUCUGAGGAGGAAAGCAGGGGGCCUUCGGGCCUUGCGCUAGAAUAGCGGCCGAUGUCGGAUUAGCUAGUUGGUGAGGUAAAGGCUCACCAAGGCAACGAUCCGUAGCGGGUCUGAGAGGAUGAUCCGCCACACUGGGACUGAGACACGGCCCAGACUCCUACGGGAGGCAGCAGUGGGGAAUUUUGGACAAUGGGCGCAAGCCUGAUCCAGCCAUGCCGCGUGAGUGAAGAAGGCCUUCGGGUUGUAAAGCUCUUUCGGCUGGGAAGAAAACGCACUCUCUAAUACAGGGUGUGGAUGACGGUACCAGCAGAAGAAGCACCGGCUAACUACGUG